rnacentral:lncRNA from 1 species
CUCUUUUCAGUUAUUUCUAGAUAAUGAUAUAUUCAGGUUUAUCUGAUUAAAAGGCUUUUUACAAAGUUUCUGAUUUUGAGUACCUUGUACAUGAAGUCUUAUAAUUAUGUGAGUGUAGGGACAUGUUCACUAUUAAGAAAUGUUACCAUUCUCUGAAAGCUUUUCCUUAACAAGAUGCCCAUAUUGAAAUCCUUCAGUUGUAUGGAUAACACAAUUUAAUGAUGACUUUAAUAACUAAAAAUCACAAAUUUUUAUUUCUAUUCUCUUCCAAGUAUUUCUAAUAACAUCUAACUGCUUUACCCUUUCCUUCUCCCAAUAUACACACUCUUAUUUUAAGGCAGAAAAAUAAAUGGGAUGACUUUUGCAUCUUUUUUCCUUCAUCGGCCUCUGUUGGAUGUCAUGAUAUUUGGAAGUAAAAUGACUAAGUGGCAGAAAGAUUCAAGGAGGAUAUCACUGAGUCAGAACCUUGGGCUGGAUUAAGAAUUAUGGAGAGGUUCCCAAAGCCAAAGGCUGCUAGGAAUAACUGCCCUUCUGGGAGUACGCAGGCCAGGCCCACCUGGUAAGGCCACUCCCAGAACUAAGAAAGGUUGACAAGAUCAACAAUUUCCCUGAACGGUGUAGCAGGAAGGACUUCAGCAGAGCCAACAAGGAAUUCUCAAAAGUAAACUAAGUACCUGGACCCCCAAAGCCCCAGCAAUGGACACAGGACACCAUUCUUGCGCUUCCUUCCCACCACAGACACAGGUAAUUUCAAGCAGAUGCUUGGGAAGCUUGGGAAGGACACUGGUAUUAGGCAAGCAGGCUCAAGCCUGGUUCCACCAAUUGUGAGGUGUGGAACCUGGGCCAUAACUUUAACUUCUCCUAUUUUCAAGGGUUAGAUUAGCUGUCUUCAGAAGUCCCUUCUAAUGCCUCUAAUCACCUCUGAGCCUUGAUGUCCUCAACUUUAAAAUGAGAUCACAUUAUCUCAUUUCCAAGAAAGCUGCCUGUGCUUUUGAAGCAGGAAAUUUCCCUGACACCGUUGCAGGUGGGAACUGCAGUGCACGGGUGCUGGAUCUAGCUGGCCGCUUUGUCACUGGCAGGGGCAAACUCCACUCACUUGGACCCGUUGCACUUCACCCCUUGCAGAAGGGAGUCCACAGGUGAGCAGGUACAGGAGCCAGGGUGAGUGCUUCUGGGCAUCAGCUGGAGUGAACUCCGUGCAGAGUCCUGAGGCAGUGUCUAGUGGGUGCCCAUUACCCCUGAAGGCCCAGAGGGCAUGUGUUUUAGUCAGCGCUCUUUUAGCUUUUGCCAUCCACGGACGGCUUAAGUGUCAACAGUUCAGUGGGCCCUCUGCCUUUUUGCAUGAGACAGUUGCUCUCUACCGAGAGCACAGGGUCAGUGUGACAGCCUUUAGCAUCCUCACCCAUGGCACCCGAGCUCUUGUUUGGUGUCCAGGAAUAAUCAGGUCACAUGAAUGAAUUGAAGGGUGGUGAAUGUGGAGGAUUUUAUUGCUGAUGAACAUGGCUUUCAAUGGAGGGGAGCUGAAAAGGGGAUGGAGCGGGAUAAUCUUCCCCCAGAGUCUGGCCAUCCCUGGCCAGACUCCUCCCUGAGGUAACACUGUCAAGCCAUCCCUUUGAAGUCAAGCUGCUUCUCUCCAAUGUCUAGCUGCUUCUCCUCUUCUCCUUUCUCUGCUGUUGGAGA